rnacentral:rRNA from 1 species
GUGAGGAAUCUUGCACAAUGGGCGAAAGCCUGAUGCAGCGACGCCGCGUGAGGGACGAAGGCCUUCGGGUUGUAAACCUCUGUCAGUGGGGAAGAAGAAUGACGGUACCCACUGAGGAAGCUUCGGCUAACUACGUGCCAGCAGCCGCGGUAAGACGUAGGGAGCAAGCGUUGCCCGGAAUUACUGGGCGUAAAGAGCUCGUAGGCGGGGGCGUGCGUCCGAAAGGAAAUCUCAGGGCUCAACCCUGGGGCUUUUUCGGAUACGGCGCUUCUUGAGGGUGAGAGAGGAAAGCGGAAUUCCAGGUGUAGCGGUGAAAUGCGUAGAUAUCUGGAGGAACACCAGCGGCGAAGGCGGCUUUCUGGCUCAUUCCUGACGCUGAGGAGCGAAAGCGUGGGUAGCGAACGGG